rnacentral:rRNA from 1 species
GACGAACGCUGGCGGCGUGCUUAACACAUGCAAGUCGAACGGAAAGGCCCUGCUUUUGUGGGGUGCUCGAGUGGCGAACGGGUGAGUAACACGUGAGUAACCUGCCCUUGACUUUGGGAUAACUUCAGGAAACUGGGGCUAAUACCGGAUAGGAGCUCCUGCUGCAUGGUGGGGGUUGGAAAGUUUCGGCGGUUGGGGAUGGACUCGCGGCUUAUCAGCUUGUUGGUGGGGUAGUGGCUUACCAAGGCUUUGACGGGUAGCCGGCCUGAGAGGGUGACCGGCCACAUGGGGACUGAGAUACGGCGCAGACUCCUACGGGAGGCAGCAGUGGGGAAUAUUGCACAAUGGGCGGAAGCCUGAUGCAGAGACGCCGCGGGCGGGAUGACGGCCUUCGGGUUGUAAACCGCUUUCGCCUGUGACGAAGCGUGAGUGACGGUAAUGGGUAAAGAAGCACCGGCUAACUACGUG